CUCGCCCAUGUCCCGCAAAACCGGCGGAAAGAAAAAAUGAGCGCACAUAUGCCUCAUCCAAUCCGCCGUCGUGCCUCCCCACGACCUCGCACACCGCCGUUGGUGCUAUGUCAUCGCGUCCCCGCGCGGACCCAAAUAUUCGUCUCCCUCUCUUCUUUCAUUUCCCCCUCUCCACUCCUCUGCAAUCACAUGCGCAGACGCCUCGCCGCCACGCUCCCUCUUCGACUCUUUUUUUUGAGAUAGCUUACCAGGCUUGCUGCCUGGUCCCCCCCCUUCGACCCAAUCUACUAGGAGCUCUGCCAGCUUUUGGAUUUGCAUACAAUGCUGACACCACAUGGACUCUGAACUCUAAAGGAAGUUGUGCUAACUGCUAGGCUUUCCCUGCUUUUCCAGCUUGUGUGUUUCAUUGAUGGAUGAGACCUGAAAGUAACAUCAAAGGAUGCCAGCGGCGGCAGAGAUCAACAAGUUCUUCACCGUCGCAGAGAAGGUGGAGGUCGAAUGUUUCACCGUCAAGUGCACACUUAUCAUUCUGCUACAGUCACUCGAUCAUCGUCAGGAACACCGCCACACUAAGAAUUGUGCAGCUGCUCUACUUUCAGGUCCAAAUUGGACAUCACGUGAGGUGUUACGGUCAACACCAGCCAGUUCAAGGCAACCCUACAGGUGGUCGUCUGAGCGAGUGCUAACAUGCUAAUAGGAGCAGUUUCAUCUCGAGCAGACUUGCACCGCAAUAAGUACAUGCUACUCUCAGCGACUGUUAACAUGAAGUUGCACUCAGGCUCUGGCAUAGACUACAGAGGUACUAUCCGUAAGUAUCACGGUUCAUAGAUUUAUUUAUAUGAACAAUACUGAUCUCAAGGAUAACAAUCUAGAUUCAUCUAUUACUUCUGCUAAUCUGACUGUAACAACAGUCACUCCCAUUCAAACUUUCUUUAGGGAAACUACAACAUGCAUUUUGCUCACCUCAACAUUAAAUUAAGGAGUGCAGAAGGUUCAGGGCUUAUGCGGACUAUUGAAAUGUUAUAUUUGUGGACAAUGGAGAAAAGCCUGAAUUAGGCAUCAGAGUAGAAUUUACACUCGUUGGUACAGUGCGGCUUUUGGGCAUCCUUAGAACGAUAAGCCCAAAUACGAAGAUUAGACGCCACCUUAGAUUUGUCUGGUUGUUAACUUGUGGUCAUCAAACACAUUUAUAUUAUGCUCUGUCCAUAUGCUCUAGAGGAAACAAGCAAUAAUAGUGGACUGCAAUUUCUGGGGUAUCACGCCCAUUUAAACUGACGGUGCAAGUUCAGGCCGACCUUCCUUUUUUCCUUCAGAUCUUUCUGUUUUAAGAAUUGUACUGUUAUAAUUAUACCAUUAUAUAUUUAUUUUAGAUACAUGUUCAAAGAUUAUUUUAUUUCACCCAAAAUACAAAGGACACGGGAAAAUCACUAUUUCUCUAUUUCCUGAAAUAAAUGCCUGAAUUUGUUUACCAUGUUUUCUCUAUUUCCUUCCUUACAGUAGUGUCUUCAAUAGAACAAAUAAAGUGUUGAGUAACUAAAAGGCCAUUCCGAUUCCGGUAUGGUAAAUAUUUGAUGGAUGACAAAGGGUCCUGGGGGAGCUCGUUUGUGUUGACGAUACUCAACAUAUUCUGUAAAUAUCCUCUGAAUUCACCAUCCAUGAGCCGCAAGUCAUGUUUUCUGGUGCUAUAAGUAUAAAAAAGGUUCAUACUUUGUUUUAUUAUCCUUUUGUGGUGUUGGUACUAUACCUUUUGGCCUAAGAAGGCUCUCUGAAACACUGAGACAAACAAAGCUAAACAUUUGGAGUAUGAUUAAGCAGUCCAGUCAGCGUUAC